AAUUAGACGACCUCUGUUGGUGUGGCCUCAGCCCUGCAAGAAAUUCAGCAGACUCCCUAAGCGUAAGCUCGAUGCAGGGCCAAAGUCUGCCAGCAGGGGGCGCACCCAAGCUCACAGCAAAGACAAAGGCCAGAAGCAAACUGUUGUGGGGUGGUGAGCGGAUGGAGGCUGCUGGGAAAGGCAGGGAGCAGAAUCCGAGAGUCAAUCAGCAGGGCCAGGAAGAAGAUAUCUAACCUUUCACCUCCAAAACGAACAUUGAAAGUACAGAAACACAAGAUUGGCUGUUUUCUAAGAGGGAGAAUGAAAAGCUGGGAGUCCUCUUGGUGGCCAGACAGGAAACUUGUCUCCCAGGAAGAGACUUCACUCUGUUAGACUGCCUGGCAGGACGCACUGGAGCCCCAAUAACAACAGCGGUCAGUGAUGGGCAGGAUGGCACCUGAACCAAGCCUGCUUGCUGUGCACACUGUGUCCCUGUUUAAAUCUAAACCUCAUGUCAGGACUCUGAAGAUGGAGUUAGUAGGAUGUGUUUGUUCCUCUUGAAAUGGAACCACCUUGCACAAAUCUUCCGGUUGACCCGUUGCAGGUAGAUGGCUUAUCCUGGUUCAUUCAGGCUGCCAGGGCCCUUCCAGAUGCUGGUCCUCAACACAUCAGUAACAAUAGGACAGAGAGGUACAGAAUAUGGCACCCAUUGAGUGGAGUCUGGGAAAGAACUGGAAGUCACCUGUGGGUGACCUGUCUUUUCUUUCAGGUCACCAGGAAACUGGCUUCUCACUAUGGACUGGAGACCUGUAGCAAGGACUUCCAAACAAGCCAUCAGAUGGCCCCACAGAACAUGAGGCCUCAGUGUUUGACUUUUUUUUCCUGCCAUCUGGAAUGUCAAGGUCCCUAUUCCAAGUACAUUUUUUCCUUAGCUACACAGCCAGGCUUUCCUAAAUAUCCACAGUUAUGUGGCCCUUUUGUUGUGGCUUCAGUUUCCUGUGUAUCCUCAACACAAGAGAACAGAGGACCAGGAGGAGAGGGGAAAAUGAAAAGUUGUUUGCUUUCCUGUCAUGCCCCAGUGAACCCACGACUCCCCCACCCCUCACAGACCUGGGAAAGACCCAGAAUGCCACUGUGGUCAGAACAUGCUGUAUUUGAUUCAUUUUCAUUUUUAAGAUAAAAAGUUUUAUUUCAGAGAGAAACACAAAGCCCUGGGUGUUAUGGAUCAGCCAGGAUUUGACAGGGUUCUGGGACUUUCAAACUGUACAAAAUAAAUUGUAUCAUCCCUUGAUAACCCAAAGGACACAGUGGCCACAUCCUAACCCAGGGUCCCCCACCCUGGACCCCAGCUCUGCUCCUCAUGGGCUGCAGGAAGACUUGUAGCACUCUUGUCUCAUUUAGGCCACUUAAUUAUCAGAUGUGACUGUGUCUCCCCAUGCCCGUGUGAGGGUUAAUACUGACUGUCAGCUUUCCAGGUCCUACAGUCACCUAGGAGACAAACAUCUGGGCAUCCGUGUAAUGAAGUUUCUAGAUCGGGUUAACUGAACUGGGACAAUCCAUCCUAAUUAUGGUGGUACCACUCUGCAAGCUGCCGCCCCGGACUGAAUGAAAAGGAGAAAGUGAGCCAAGCGUCCAUCUCUCUCUGCUUCCUGAAUUUGAAUGCAAAGUAACCAACCUGCUUCACACCUCUGCCUUCUCUGCAGUGAUGGGCUACACCCUCCAUCCUUGAGCCAAAAAUAAACCCUUCCUUGCUUAUGCUGGUGUUGCCAGGUGUCUUUGUCCAAGCAGGGAGAAAAGUAACUGAUACAUCCUGCCAUGAUGCCAUCUUAAAUCAGGGGCUCCGCUUACCUCCUGAACUGUACCAGCCUCCUUACUAUCCCCUUGAAGCCACAGCCUUGAUCUCCCUCUGUUCUUACAAUCACCACUCACAUGUUCAUUCAUGGUGUAUGCACUGGUUGAGCGCCUGCUGUGUGCAGCAUAGUCCUGAAUCCUGGGGCUGUAACACUGGUGGGAACUGAAAAUCUGGUCAUAUUCCACCUCCAGUCACUCUCAGAGGAAGUGGCAAGCCAAGGGCGACAGGUCAGCACCAGGAAGGCCUGGGAUCUGCCGUCCCUGUCCUUCCUCACUGGAGGCUGAGAGGGUACAGGUGCCACCUUCACAGACUUCAACUCCCAGAGUAUCAUGAGCGACUUAAUGCUCAGCUCAUUAUAAUC
rnacentral:lncRNA from 1 species